rnacentral:rRNA from 1 species
AUUGAACGCUGACGGCAUGCUUUACACAUGCAAGUCGAACGGUAACAGGUUAAGCUGACGAGUGGCGAACGGGUGAGUAAUGCAUCGGAACGUGCCCGGUCGUGGGGGAUAACGCAGCGAAAGCUGCGCUAAUACCGCAUACGAUCUGAGGAUGAAAGCGGGGGACCGUAAGGCCUCGCGCGAUCGGAGCGGCCGAUGUCAGAUUAGGUAGUUGGUGGGGUAAAGGCUCACCAAGCCAACGAUCUGUAGCUGGUCUGAGAGGACGACCAGCCACACUGGGAUUGAGACACGGCCCAGACUCCUACGGGAGGCAGCAGUGGGGAAUUUUGGACAAUGGGCGAAAGCCUGAUCCAGCAAUGCCGCGUGCAGGAAGAAGGCCUUCGGGUUGUAAACUGCUUUUGUACGGAGCGAAAAGGUCUCCUCUAAUACAGGGGGCUCAUGACGGUACCGUAAGAAUAAGCACCGGCUAACUACGUGCCAGCCGCCGCAGUAA